CCUUCGAUAGCUCAGUUGGUGGAGCGGAGGACUGUAGAUCCUUAGGUCGCUGGUUCAAAUCCGGCUCGAAGGA
rnacentral:tRNA from 1 species